rnacentral:rRNA from 1 species
CUUUAAUCGUACUCGACGAAUGCAUCCNAGAUUGNUUCAGAUUGAACGCUGGCGGCAGGCCUAACACAUUGCAAGUCGAGCGGCAGCACAAGUAAGUUUACUUAUGAGGUGGCGAGCGGCGGACGGGUGAGUAAUGCCUAGGGAUCUGCCCAGUCGAGGGGGAUAACAGUUGGAAACGACUGCUAAAUACCGCAAUAACGCCCUACGGAGGAGAAAGGACGGGGAUCCUUUCGAGAGACCUUACCAGUCGAAUANAGUGAUGAUAACCCUAAAAGNUGGAGAAUUANGCCUAUAANNUUAUGAGUUAGAAUGAUGUAAAAUUGGGCUUACACACAAAGGACAGAACAAUUACCACACAUAUAAAUUCUUUNUUUAUCCU